UAGCGGAGGAAAAGAAACCAACCGGGAUUGCCUCAGUAACGGCGAGUGAAGCGGCAAGAGCUCAAAUUUGAAAGCUGGCCCCUUCGGGGUCCGCGUUGUAAUUUGCAGAGGAUGCUUCGGGUGCGGCCCCUGUCUAAGUGCCCUGGAACGGGCCGUCAGAGAGGGUGAGAAUCCCGUCUUGGGCAGGGUGCCCGUGCCCGUGUGAAGCUCCUUCGACGAGUCGAGUUGUUUGGGAAUGCAGCUCUAAAUGGGUGGUAAAUUUCAUCUAAAGCUAAAUACCGGCCGGAGACCGAUAGCGCACAAGUAGAGUGAUCGAAAGAUGAAAAGCACUUUGAAAAGAGAGUUAAACAGCACGUGAAAUUGUUGAAAGGGAAGCGCUUGCGACCAGACUCGGCCCCGGGGUUCAGCCAGCACUCGUGCUGGUGUACUUCCCCGGGGGCGGGCCAGCGUCGGUUUGGGCGGCCGGUCAAAGGCCCCAGGAAUGUAUCGCCCUCCGGGGUUGUCUUAUAGCCUGGGGUGCAAUGCGGCCAGCCCGGACCGAGGAACGCGCUUCGGCACGGACGCUGGCGUAAUGGUCGCAAACGACCCGUCCUUGA
rnacentral:rRNA from 1 species